UAGGGAAUCUUCCGCAAUGGACGCAAGUCUGACGGAGCAACGCCGCGUGAGCGAUGAAGGUCUUCGGAUCGUAAAGCUCUGUUGUCAGGGAAGAAUAAGUGCCGGAGUCACUGCCGGCACCUUGACGGUACCUGACCAGAAAGCCACGGCUAACUACGUGCCAGCAGCCGCGGUAAUACGUAGGUGGCAAGCGUUGUCCGGAAUUAUUGGGCGUAAAGCGCGCGCAGGCGGUCCCUUAAGUCUGAUGUGAAAGCCCCCGGCUUAACCGGGGAGGGUCAUUGGAAACUGGGGGACUUGAGUGCAGAAGAGAAGAGCGGAAUUCCACGUGUAGCGGUGAAAUGCGUAGAGAUGUGGAGGAACACCAGUGGCGAAGGCGGCUCUUUGGUCUGUAACUGACGCUGAGGCGCGAAAGCGUGGGGAGCAAACAGG
rnacentral:rRNA from 1 species